UGGGGAAUUUUGGACAAUGGGCGAAAGCCUGAUCCAGCAAUGCCGCGUGUGUGAAGAAGGCCUUCGGGUUGUAAAGCACUUUUGUCCGGAAAGAAAUCCUUGGCUCUAAUACAGUCGGGGGAUGACGGUACCGGAAGAAUAAGCACCGGCUAACUACGUGCCAGCAGCCGCGGUAAUAGCGUAGGGUGCAAGCGUUAAUCGGAAUUACUGGGCGUAAAGCGUGCGCAGGCGGUUUGCUAAGACCGAUGUGAAAUCCCCGGGCUCAACCUGGGAACUGCAUUGGUGACUGGCAGGCUAGAGUAUGGCAGAGGGGGGUUAGAAUUCCACGUGUAGCAGUGAAAUGCGUAGAGAUGUGGAGGAAUACCGAUGGCGAAGGCAGCCCCCCAUGGGCC
rnacentral:rRNA from 1 species